rnacentral:rRNA from 1 species
CCUACGGGAGGCAGCAGUAGGGAAUAUUGCACAAUGGGCGAAACCCUGAUGCAGCGACGCCGCGUGAGUGAAGAAGUCCUUCGGUACGUAAAGCUCUAUCAGCAGGGACGAAAAUGAACGUAACUGAGAAAGAAACCACGGCUAACUACGUGCCAGCAGCCGCGGUAAUAAGGAGGGGGCAAGCGUUAUCCGGAUUUCAUGGGUGUAAAGGGGGCGUAGACGGUGCACCAAGUCUGGAGUGAAAUGCCGCAGCUUAAAUUGUGGACUGCUGUGGAUACUGGCGAACUAGAGUGCGGUAGGGGUAAGGGGAAUUCCUGGUGUAGCGGUGAAAUGCGUAGAUAUUAGGAGGAACACCGGUGGCGUAGGCGCUUUACUGGACCGUAAUUGACGUUGAGGCUCGAAAGCGUGGGUAGCAAAUGGGAUUAGAUACCCGAGUAGUC